CUUUCCUCCCACACUGCACUUCUAGAUGACCAAAGCAACAAUCCUGUUUUAAUGUUGCUUCUGAAUAUUAUGUUUACAAAGGUUAAACAGUCUUUGGAGUGAUUCUUCUAACUGAAGUCAUCCAACUAAUUCUUUCAACAUGGUGAAAUCUGUUAAAUCUAAGCUAUAAACAUCUUUUAGAUAUCCCGUGGAAACUUCCAGUUGAAAAAAUAAAUGGUUCUUGAUGUGGUUUUUGCAGCAGGACUCUUCUAAAAGGCAGCUCCCAACCUGCACUGGUUCCUGCUCCCUACUGGUCCCCCUGGCCUCCAGUAACUCACCCCUUACAGUGAACAUGGGAUUAAGUAUAAAUAUGGGAUCCAUUUUUUCAUUGCCAUAGUCAGCUGAGAUGUUUUGAUACAAAGCAAUAAUCCUCUAGGUGCUUUAAGGACAUGCAGUACCUGUCUGACUCUAUGCAUUUAUGACUCAUUUUAGUUAUAUAAGAGAAAAGAAAUAAUUGAUUUAUGCCAGGCAAAAGGACACCAGUACAGAGAAUGUGGCUCUUGGAUUUUAGGAGUGAGAGGAAACAUAUGGCACGCUUCAUGGGGGCAUUGACCCAAUGUCAAAAGAAGGGGUCAAUUUAGUUUUAAUCCUUAGCCUUGUGGCAGCAGUCCAGGAGCUGAAGAAGGAUAAGGUGUACCAGGUGCAAUGGCUACAGAGACAAAUUGCCUAUGGAUAGGCACAACCUCAAACACUUCAAAAACCACAGAGGCUUAGAAGGUGAAUCUAAACUGGAAGAUUAAAUGUCAGCAAUUUAUAGCAAUGGGGAAAAUUCAGGCUGCAAAUCCCAACCCGAGAUUCAUACUCAUCUCUGGUAUAAGCCACCACGGGGUUUGAUGCCUACUGCUCGAAAAUGUUAUUGCUUCUUAUUUCCAUUUAGGGAGGAAAAAUCUUCAUUGUUAUGGCUUUAGUUGCUGCUUGUGGGGCACACCUGAGGUGCACAGACCUGCUCCCCUCCUGGACAAUGGACAAGAUGGUUUUCCUCAAAGCCACAUGCCCAUCCUGGAGUGCAGCAGGACACUUGUGUUGCUUGGGCAGAGGUGGAGAAAGCCGCUCUUCUUCCACUUCCACCCCCUCCUUCUUUUCAUCUAACAGGAAUACCAUAAUCAGGGAAGUAUGCACAGGCUGUUUUGCAAGGGGUCAAAUCCAUUUGGAUGAAAUUCCAGGGUUUCAAGGUUAACAAUGGCAGGAAGAGAUGUUUUUAAGCUGGCCCACACAGUGCCUUGUUGACAUAUAUGGCCUGCUGCCUCAUGCUGCCCACCCUUGGAAAGCCCUGGCUGCUCCCGACACCAAGGAGAACCGAAAGCUCACUGCAACCGGAGCUAAAGGAAAGAACCCCUCCAUUAAUUAUUUAAUUAUUCUGUGACCAUACUUUUUGCCCAAACCUAAACCUCCUCUUCAAUGUUUUUGACAUUUUAGGUGUUUUAUGGGAUGGUAUGUUAGCAAAAAGUGAAUUCAACUUUGCCCCUUGCCUCAUUUCCAUAGAAAACCCUCCUGUACAAACCCCUGUCUAAGCAUGGUUUUCAUUACAAGCUCAGGUCUCAGAUACUUUUGGUCUGUAUGAGGGAAAUCAGGCUUUACUGAUUGCUCCUCAAAGCAUAUGGGGCAACACACAAGGAAGGCACAACACAUAGAUUUUGUAUGCCUGCUGCUGAUGUUGGAUGCAGUGUCUGGUCUUUCAUUCCUUCAGCUGCUGUUUUUCCUGCUUCCUUGAAAUUCCCCAAGAGUUAACGUAGGUGGGCAAAAGGACCAAACCCAGGGCACAGGGCUGCAUCUGGCAUUUGGUUCAGGAAUGUGAGUGCUGUAGACUGGGAGAUGUUUCUCUCUCUGGCUCUGACCCUGGGAUGAGGAAGGGGGAGGAACUGGAGGGCUAGUCCAAGUUAGAGCACAUUUUUUCAUUUCUAACACGCCAUGCGGUGCUCUGCUUGCCUGAUAGUGACUGUAUGGGAAAAUUCUGUCUUAUCAAUUUGUUAAAAAUGCCUUUCUCAUUGGGGAACAGGAGACAGCACUCACAUGCACAGACAGAGAGUGUAGGAGUGCUUGGGAGGGCUCUGAUAAUCGGGAAACUCCAAACCCCAACAAUUCUGCAAAACAAAACAGAAACUCCUAAAAGGCACCACAGCCACUAAAAGGAAAAGCAUAAUGACCAAAUCAACCUAAUUUCUGUCAUGACUGUUUCGUUUCUUGGUUUGUUUUUUUUUCCCAGCUGACCACAAGAGUGCACUCACGGAAUGAUGU